GGCCUGCUGGCCCAAUGGCAAGGCGCUUGACUACGACUUUCAGAUUCAGAAUUUCUGAAGCCAGCAUCAAGAGAUUGCAGGUUCGAUCCCUGCGUAGGUCA